GCCCCCAUCGUCUAGCCAGGUCCAGGACGCGUGGUUCUCAGCCACGAAACCCGGGUUCAAAUCCCGGUGGGGGCG
rnacentral:tRNA from 1 species